CCUACGGGAGGCAGCAGUGGGGAAUCUUGGACAAUGGGGGCAACCCUGAUCCAGCCAUGCCGCGUGAGUGAUGAAGGCCUUAGGGUCGUAAAGCUCUUUCGCCAGGGAUGAUAAUGACAGUACCUGGUAAAGAAACCCCGGCUAACUCCGUGCCAGCAGCCGCGGUAAUACGGAGGGGGUUAGCGUUGUUCGGAAUUACUGGGCGUAAAGCGCGCGUAGGCGGAUUAGUCAGUUAGAGGUGAAAUCCCGGGGCUCAACCCCGGAACUGCCUUUAAUACUGCUAGUCUUGAGUUCGAGAGAGGUGAGUGGAAUUCCGAGUGUAGAGGUGAAAUUCGUAGAUAUUCGGAGGAACACCAGUGGCGAAGGCGGCUCACUGGCUCGAUACUGACGCUGAGGUGCGAAAGUGUGGGGAGCAAACAGGAUUAGAUACCCCGGUAGUCCACACCGUAAGCGAUGAAUGCCAGUCGUCGGGUAGUAUACUAUUCGGUGACACACCUAACGGAUUAAGCAUUCCGCCUGGGGAGUACGGUCGCAAGAUUAAAACUCAAAGGAAUUGACGGGG
rnacentral:rRNA from 1 species